GGCUCGUUGGUCCAGCGGCAUGAUUCUCGCUUUGUGUUCGAGAGGUCUCGGGUUCAAAUCCCGGACGAGCCC
rnacentral:tRNA from 1 species